AAUUUGUGCUAUAAAGUGAUGGGCUUGGGUGCAUGUCUUCACUGUUUUCAUGGUUUUGUAACUCCAUCAGCUUCCAUAGUUUGGAUUAUUAUCUGGGUGGUAGUACUGGUAGAAGCUGGAGUAACUUGUUGGGAAAAAGAAAAUAUAGCUUCAUUUAUUUAUUUAUUUAUUUUAAAGCACAUUUUCCUAACUUACUUGAUGGAGGCAGAUGUAUUAUUUUCAGUAAUUGUAAGGGUACGGUAUCAUGGAAGUGGAUCUCCUCAUUCAAAGUAAACCUCAAAUCCACGGUAAGGAAGAGGGAAGGGUUUAUGUUUCAUAUGUACCAGCUGGAUAACGGUGGGAUGAGAAGCAAAUGGCAGUAGCCACCCAAUGUCACACAGUUAAUAGAAACGGUGGUAUUGUAACUGCUGCGUCUUGGCUUUCCAGCAUUUCUUAAGAAACAGUAGGUACGAUACAUAACUAGAUACGUAUCUAGAAGGCGUUGCGGUCAAACUCCCUGUAGCAAGUUGAGUGUGCUCUGCAAAGGCUGUUAUCGAUUACCUCCUUUAUGAGUUUGUGCGUUGAGAUUGGACGUUUACAGCAAUAACUGCACUGACAUCUUUGUCUCUGAUGGUGGUACCUCACCGAAAACCUGCAGCAAUAAAACUACCUAAGUUCAUAGUAGUACAAGUGGGAGUUAGUUUCUCACUAAGUAGUUAAUUUGCCUUAAUUUAAUGGAGAAAAUAUGAUUUUUUGGGGGAAAGAAAAUGUAAAUAUAUGGUUUUAAAGUUCCAGUUUUCAUUCACGAAACCAAAUUAAUAUCCCUAUGUAGUACUUUUUAAAGGUAUAAAGGUUCUUGAGGAAUAUAUUGUUCUGCUUCAGGUUCUGUAGAGUGAAGGCAUUUGGAUAUGCAUUAUCUGUGUUUGAGGCUUUGGGGAUUUGUGUAAGACAAGGGCAUCUAUUAAAGCGUUUUGCCUAAAAUAUCCGUAAAAUCUGUACUUUUAAGAAGGGACUAAGUGUGCAGUAUUAACAAAUGGAUUGGCUUAGUCUUGUAGUUUCCUAGAAGUCUGGACUAACUACCUCUUUAAAAUGUACAGAAAAGAUAUAAGCUUCUUGAGUCCUGGUUUCAGAUAUGGUAGCGCUAUAUCGCCAUAUCCACUCACUGGUUCUGAUAACUAGAUGUGUGUCCAUGCAAGAAUUCUCUAUCAAAACUAUUAAAAACAACAGUAAAGGCAAAAAUCUGAGGAUAUUUUUUUCUUAUUUUUAUCUAAUUGUGAAUUUUAAUUGAUCUGAUCUGUGGUUUAGGUCAUUAUGACUGGUGUGUUUUUACAAUUUGAUAUUUUAAUAUUUCUCACUGAUAUUUCAGUGACAGAAGUAACAGGUCAACAGAAAAACUGAGGCAGGAGCAAAUGAAAAGGGAGUAUUAUCCUGAGCCUAAAUAUGAAUUACAUUGGUUUUGAUAUUAAAAGAGCAUUUGGAAGCAUCCUCAUCAACAUGCUAAUGUGGCAGUUCUGAGAGAAUCGAUUAUUGCAUGGCUCCUGGUAUUUUUAUUAAUGAAGUUGUAUGGAAAUGCUGGUGGCUUUUGCACGUAGACUGGGUCUUGCUUGAGCCAUGAGGUUUCUCAAACCUUGAGCAAUUUCGCCUUUUCAAUUUCUAUUGAUGCGCACCGCAGGAGGAACAGCACAAACGCCGCUACAGUCAGGUUCAGAAAUGACGUCAUGUUAACGCCAUCUCAUCUUUUCCCCUUCAUUUGUUUUGGAAGAAGCUGUGAUUGGCUUGGAUCUGUGGCUGAUGCCAUCUGGUUGCUCCUGAGCUGGCUGAGCCCCACGUCGUGCUCGCUGCCCAGGUAUCUCACGCUCUGCUGGGACAGGACACUGGUGGCUGCCAAGUGAUGGGCAGCGGGAGAGCCGAGGAGAUGCAGCAUCGGCCAACACAGGGCAGGCAGCCAAGCCAGAAUGAAUGAUGGCGGGAGGGAGAUGACAGAGAGAGGGGAGAUAAGGGGAGGCAGUAAGAGAGGGGUUGAGGAGACUGGAAAAUGCACAGGGAGGGCAGAGGAGCUGAUGGGUAGAUGUAGGAGAACCAGUGGACUGAAGAAGAUUCUUCAGGUCUUCAAAAUCUGUAGUUAUGUGGAAAAGCUGGGGGAGCUGUGUCUCUUUAGCUUGGAGAAGUGGAGACUGAGGGGUGACAUCAUUAAUGUUUAUGAAGGUGUAAAGGUUGAGUGUCAGGAGGAUGGAGCCAGGCUCUUCUCAUUGACAACCAAUGAUAGGACAAGGGGCAAUGGGUUCAAACUGGGACACAAGAGGUUCCACUUAAAUAUGAGAGGAAACUUCUUCACAGUGAGGGUGCCAGAGCACUGGAACAGGCUGCCCAGGGAGGUUGUGGAGUCUCCUUCCCUGGAGACAUUCAAAACCCGCCUGGACACCUUCCUGUGUAACCUCAUCUGGGUGUUCCUGCUCUGGCAGGGGGAUUGGACUGGAUGAUCUUUAGAGGUCCCUUCCAAUCCCUGACAUUCUGUGAUUCUGUGAUGUGUGUCUUGCACUCCAGGCUUCAAGAAUUCGCACCAUGCUGCUGUGGCCCAUGUGUCUUCCCAAGGCUUACGGGACUGACUGUUUGGGUAGCUUUUAAUAUUCUUUGCUAUUUAAUGUAGGUUUGCUUCUGCAAAAUCAAGUCAGCAAUUUAGUCAGGCAAUUUUAAAGAGGAUUAUAAGUCUUCUGAAGUCUUUAAUUCCCCACGGUUCAUUCACCUUAAGAUUUGAUGCACACAAUUAACUUCAGAUUUAUGUUAUUUGAAAGUAAGAACCUUUUUUUUUUUUUUUUUUUUUUUUUUUUUUUGUGGCAUUCUGCAGCUUUACAUUGUUUUCGAUCAGUAGCUUAAACUUUUGACAUUUGAAUAAUUCCCCUGGCUGAGAUCUGCAAAAUCAUUUGUAUCCUUGAAAUGUUCAUGCAUUUGAAAAAACAUUUUUGUAGUAAUACUGCCCAGUCAAAUUUUAAACCUUGCUGUCGCAUUUUCUGUAUGCAGUUAAGAGUUUAAAAAUAGAGUUGUCCCAAGGCAUGCCAAAAAUCUGGAGACACUCAAAACUCAUAGAAAUAUGUAAACUUUCAUAAUACAUUUAUUACAGGGAGAAAAAAAUAUGCUGAGACUUUUGCUUUCAAAAAGCCUUUGUCCAAUGCUUUAAAAAAAAAAGAGAAGGGAAGGGAAGGGAAGGGAAGGGAAGGGAAGGGAAGGGAAGGGAAGGGAAGGGAAGGGAAGGGAAGGGAAGGGAAGGAAAGGAAAGGAAAGGAAAGGAAAGGAAAGGAAAGGAAAGGAAAGGAAAGGAAAGGAAAGGAAAGGAAAGGAAAGGAAAGGAAAGGAAAGGAAAGGAAAGGAAAGGAAAGGAAAGGAAAGGAAAGGAAAGGAAAGGAAAGGUUGCCUUUGUUACAUUUUGACUCAUUUAUAGACAUCAAACUAUGUUAGUAUCCACUAGAUUGUACUAAAGUGCUUCCUUGGAAGAGUGUUGAUCAAGUGAAGUUGAUGUGAGCUGCAAGAUAGCCCAGAUUUUUAAAAGCUGCCUGUGCUUAUUCAGAUACAUAAAUGGAGAGAUUGGAGCCAGAGUGUUAGCAUUAUUAAAAAAAAAAAAAAAAAGUUAAAAAGCCAUAGCCUUUGAAGAGUUGAAAUUUCCGCAAAUUGAAUCUGCAUUUGUGAAAUCAGGGCAUCAUAUAAGGAAAUGUAGACCAUGUUACGAUUUCAGCACAGUUACUGGGGCCAUGGGGCCAGUCUUUGCACUGGAUAAACUGUGUGUAUGGUUGUUGUAUAAAGCAACAGUUCUUCAGCUGAUUAUCUCUCCUUUUCUUCUGCAUGAUGGAGCUACAGUGAGGAAGCCAUGAUUAAGCAACACAGAGAAAUGGAGCCAGGGGAGCUGGUGGCUGCUGGCAGCCUCCAGCAUCAGAGCGUGGACUCAAGUGUGGGACGUGAUCUGGCUCUCAGUAACCUUCAGCUGCCGCUUUUCUUGUUUGCUAAACUGCCUGGGUGGAAACUCCAAGCCGUGACUUUGUUAUGUGGGCUCCAUCCCUGCCCAGCACCUCCUUCUGGCAUCAGCACCACAGCAAACUGCUCCUUGGCUGUGGUACCCUCCCACUCCCCAAUUUCUUACGUAUUUCUCCCAGACAGCUGGAUCAAUGCACCCCUUGUUGACUUCUAACAAUGUAAAUUCAUUCUUAGCAAUUGUUGAUGUUUUCAUGUUCAAAGUAAGACUUAGAACUGAACCUAUUUUGGCAAAAAUAGAAUUACUACUUAACUAAAAUAACUAGCACUUUAUUUUUGCCUAAAUUGCUUGGCUUAAUGAGCAUUUCUCAGAUCGAGGUUGCUUGAAUGCUACUCAUACAGGUGAAUAAAGGAUAAAUAGUGUGAGUAAAUGCAGCAAGCUUAGAUUAUAAAUUGUUUGUAAAGUGCAACCUGCUAAAUGACAGUUUGAAUCUAGUUUCAUAGUUUUACUGAUUUGUUUGUUUUGGCUUGGAUCACUUUUAGGAAGUAAGAGCUAAAUUUUCAAGUCUUAACAAGCUGCCUAGACACCUAAAGCCCAGGGCUUCUGUGUCCUGAGUUAGCUAGUAAAUGCUCAGUUAUCUCCCCAGAUUAUCUGAUUGCCUUUCAGGAGUGAUUUCAUUUCAUCAGGCCAGGUGGUCAUGUCUCCAUGAUGCCUGAUGGGCCACAUUUUGGAUAGCUGGGCUUGCAUCUGAAUAUGUUGUCUUAGCUUCCACUGGGCAACUGUACAGACUUUAGACCAUGCCUCCUUCAUUCACUGUGUAUUUCCACAGCACAGCCUUUCCUCUUUUCUGGCUUAUUCAGCAUUACAGGUUUAUUUUGUUUUUUUUUUUUUGUUUUUUUGCAAAAAGAUCUUGUACACACAGCCGUUCUUCCUUCUUCUAACCUCAGUGUAAUACAAAGUUUGGGAAACAGCAGUUUAACAGAGCAGAGAUUACAAGGACUGGCCAGUUUUAGGUGAAAACUAAGGCAAUGUUCACUGUCUUCCGAAGUGUUGGUUGAUCACUUUAUUGUCUGACACCUGAUGGGAAGAAGUUGCUCCACACUCCUACCACAGCCCAGCAGUGGGCAGAGGAACUUCUCAAUUGAAGUGGUUACCACCUAGAGGAAAGAAAGGAUGCCAGAACUCAUCAGAUCCUAACACCAAGACCACCUCAUGGGUGUGGAUUAGCUGGAAUACAAGCCCAGAGAUGCUAUAUGGAACUGAACCACAUCUGUAUCGUGUCUAACACAAGAGCCUUUAGCAGCAGGCCAAGAGGAAUGGCCCAUUUAUGCCUGGACUCAAGUGGACAUCUACCAGCCAACAUUUACUGUCAGAUACCUGUCCAGGAAAAUUCCAAGCAGUGGUUAUUUCUGGAUUCUUUUUCUCAGAAGACAAAACAAUUCUCCAGACAAUUACCAUUGCUACUUGUUUCUACAUGGACCUCCCCCACAACAGGAAGAUGCUGAACUUGAUCCCCAGAAGUCCUUAGCUCUCUACCCUUUUCCUACUACCACAAAUGGACUCCAAAGAAGAUGCUGCUGCUCUUUGAUAAAUCCUUUCUCCUCAGAUCCUUGGUCAACCAUAGCCCAGAGGCAGAGCAUGCCACUUUACAUGGCUUGAAGUGCCAGCUUAGCAUUGCAUCUUCUGCUAUGAAGGACCUUUCACUUGUUGCUGCACAUCCCAACCCAACAAACCGGACAAAGACCAGGUGAAGUAAGUGUGUUGCCAGGCUGCAUUCCAGCACCACCACUGAAGAGUGGAGCAGGUCCUGGGAUCCAGGAGGACCACAGCUUGAAAGGUUUGUGGUACCACAAAGGGGAUGAUGUCUCACAGUUUGGCUGUGGAAUGAAGUGCUGCUUUUGGUCACCAUUAUCCUGGUGGUGCUGUCACCACAGCUGUCGCUGGGAUGGUGGCAGAUUCAAGGAUGGAGAGGCCCCACCCCCACAAAGGGCUCAUUCCACCAUGUCCAAGAAGUCUGGAAGAGGGACUGUGGACCAAGAGAGUGCUAGUGCAGGAGCAAUGGGCUUGGGCACAGGAAGACAUGGCCAGCAGCAGAUUGUGGACAAGGCUUAUGUCACAGAGGUAUACAGAUCUGCCUGUCACUGUGGACAUGAGUGACGAAGUGCCAUCUCCUCCUCACACUUGUUCCGUCCUCCUCCAACUUCCUUUUCUAGGAGCUGGCAGGUGUUUGUAAUGUUUGUUUCUGACCUUGUUCCCUCCUCUAUUUCAGUAAUAAACUCCUUAAUGUUAUUAUUUCA